GGCGCAGAUGACGACAAAAUAGACAGGGACAUCAGCACUCCAUAGGAGAAUGUUGACUUCGUCUAAUGGGAAUCUCUCUGAUGCGUU
rfam:Cajanus cajan chromosome 11, whole genome shotgun sequence.